rnacentral:lncRNA from 1 species
UGAAUAGCAUUGAAUAUUUGAAUUUCUUUUGUUUGAGAGAGGGUUUUUUUAAGGUUGCUUGGAAAUGUAAAGGGCUUUCUUUUUUUUCAUUACAGGUGUUCUCUAUACAUUUUUCCAAUUAGAAGAAUCUCCUUUAUAUAUUUAGCACUAUUUAGAGGGGACUGGGAAGAUAAGACUGCUGAGGAAUGCUGCAGGCUAAAGCUAGGCUCUCCAAACUGGCUUUUGUUGCGCCAAUGUGAAUCACUUAAUAAUUCAUAUUUCAGAAUACAUUAAUGCAAAUGAUAAUUUUAGCUUGCUAUUGAAUUUUUAAAUAUGCACUACAAGCAAUUUAUAUUUCUGUUCAUUUUGCCAGGUAAAACUGUUUAGACGUUUUUAACAUAUGCUUGGUUUCAUUCAUCAUAUAUCAUUCCAUUGUUUUAAUUCGGGGUAAUUAAAAAUUAGGAACAUCACAAAUAAUACAUGGAGCCCUGUGUUCACAGAAAAAUAACAUGGAAAUUAUGCUCAAUCUUGCAAUUUGAAUGAAAGACAUUUUUCAGUGAUGCUGCAGUAACAAAAUAGCAGUGUCCUGUGUUUCUGAAGAUAAUCUAUAUCUAAAUAAUAAUUACUGUGACUAAUUGGUAUCUCUUUUUCUUUAAAUAAUUAGUGGGAUUUUUCUGGAUUUUUUUUGUUGUUGUUUAGAUUUACAAGGAAUACUUGGUGUAGGAAGGACAAACAUGUUGUUCCUCUCCUACUGAGUUGGAUAGAUAAUUAGAAGAUUCAAAAUCAGAGGUUAUUGAAGAUUCACUUUCUCUUUUUUGUUUCUGGAAACUAAUUGUCAGCUUUGACCCCACAUUUCAGAGGCACAGUGGGAGAUCAAGUGGCACACAAGCUGUGAGACCCAGAGUGCCCAAGCAGGGCUUUGCCCAGGGAAAGAAAGAGAGUCACAGGUACCUCGGCAUAAGCUGCAUCCUUACAAGGGUAGUAACUGCACCAGGAGAAUAUGUUCCGAUGCCUUUUAUUAAGGGGAUGGUAAACAGAAGGUCGGGUAAGAUAUACCACUUUUAUUCCAGGUUGCUUUCUACAUGAUGGGGUAUGGUAGAUGGAAGACUCUCCCCUUAUUUUCCAGCAGAGAUGGAAAAGCCAAAAUCUUUUGCUAAUGCGUCAUCAUUCACUUCUUUCACACACCCCCGCUCCCACCCCAAGCCAAGGUGCUGUAUUGAAG